rnacentral:rRNA from 1 species
UGGGGAAUAUUGGACAAUGGGGGCAACCCUGAUCCAGCCAUGCCGCGUGUGUGAAGAAGGCCUUUUGGUUGUAAAGCACUUUAAGCAGUGAAGAAGACUCCAUGGUUAAUACCCAUGGACGAUGACAUUAGCUGCAGAAUAAGCACCGGCUAACUCUGUGCCAGCAGCCGAGGUAAUACAGAGGGUGCAAGCGUUAAUCGGAAUUACUGGGCGUAAAGCGAGCGUAGGUGGCUUGAUAAGUCAGAUGUGAAAGCCCCGGGCUUAACCUGGGAACGGCAUCUGAUACUGUUAGGCUAGAGUAGGUGAGAGGAAGGUAGAAUUCCAGGUGUAGCGGUGAAAUGCGUAGAGAUCUGGAGGAAUACCGAUGGCGAAGGCAGCCUUCUGGCAUCAUACUGACACUGAGGUUCGAAAGCGUGGGUAGCAAACA